UUGGUGCCAGCAGCUGCGGUUAGACUAUGAGGGGUUUGGUAAUAGUGCGGUGAGUAGUUAUGGGGGUAAAGAGAGAGAUUAUGAUAAUAAUUUAAGUUAAUAGGGGGUGAAAUCUAAAAUUUAUAAUUAUUAUUAUCAGAGUUUCUUUUUUUAGAGGCUACUAAGAUUUAGGCUUAAACUAGGAUUAGAUACCCUAUUAUACUAAAUGUAGAAAUAGCUUGCUUGAGUAGUAUCAGUUAUGAGCUUGAAAUUUAAAGGAUUUGGCGGUAUUCAAGUCUGGUUAGAGGAACCUGUAUCUUAAACGAUAUUCCACGAAUUAUCUUACUUUACCUAGUUUUCAGUUUGUAUACCUCCAUUUUAGUAGUAUUUCAAGGUAGCUAUUAUAAUAGGAUUUUAUUCUAGUUUAUUAGGUCAAGGUGCAGCCAAUGGUAAAGUUGCUAUGGGUUACAUUGUAUUAUAUAAUUUUCGGAUUAGUUUUUGAAAGAAAUUAUGAAGUUGGAUUUAAUUGUAAGUUUAUUUUAAUAUGGUAAGCUGAUAAUAGCUCUGGAAUAUGUACAUAUUGCCCGUCGCUCUCAUUAUAAGUGAGAUAAGUCGUAACAAAAGUAGGGAAA
rnacentral:rRNA from 1 species